rnacentral:lncRNA from 1 species
CUGGUGGGGAUAUUUAACAACUCUUUGACUAUCAAUAAGCUUCACUAUCAAUGAGCUUGACUAUCAAUAAGCUUGACUAGCAAUGAGCUUGACUAUCAAUAAGCUUGACUAUCAAUGAGCUUGACUAUCAAUAAGCUUCACUAUCAAUGAGCUUGACUAUCAAUAAGCUUGACUAUCAAUAAGCUUGACUAUCAAUGAGCUUGACUAUCAAUAAGCUUGACUAGCAAUGAGCUUGACUAUC